UCUCAUGCUAAGGUUGUUCCUGGAGCACUUGAACACAUCACCUGAUUUCAGAAGCUAAGUCAGAAAGGCUAGUACUUGGAUGGGAGACCAUCUGGGAAUACUGGGCAGCAUAGGUU